GCUGUACUGAACCAUACAUAUUUAAUUAAUAGCACUUCUAUUUAUGUUGACCAUCACUGUGAUAUUGAGUCACGCUAUGCUGGCUCAGACCCUCCUUGACCAGAAUCCGUAGCUGUUACAUAAUUUUCCCACUUUGAUGUCUAGAAAAGCCAGAGCUUGUAACUUUUCCAGAACAACUCAAAUGUUCAAUUCACACACCGAGCAUUGACUCAAACCAAAACACGACCACCUCAGAAACAGAUGGUAAACCCAGUCAAAGCGGACUGACUCCUCAUUUCAGCUCCAGUGGGUCGUUUGUUGAAAGCCUUCACAUUCAUGGUUGUUGCACAUUCACAACCAGAGAGUGAAAGAACGGCUAAAACACAGCAAUAAGCAGCGUUGACGUAUCAGUGCUCGUCAAAAGCUACUCGAAGCUUCCACCUGAUUUAGAUCUUCGACAAACCCUGUUACUGCAGCUUUCCAGCACAAGAUGGCGGCAUUGCAUCUCCAGGCAAGAGGAAGCCGAGACCAGCAACGACAUCAGGUGAGCAAGCCAGGGGCGACAGUGGCAAGGAAAAAGUCCCUCAGAGCUGAGAAAGAAACCUUGGGAGGAUCCAAGGCUCACAGGGAGGGACCUAUUCUCCUCUGGUCGAGCUACCUACGGAGUUAUUCUACUACUUUUAUUAGUAGUAGUAAUAGCUACACUCUCAGAAAAAAAGACCUUCACCUUGUGCUGAUGUCAAGAAAACCACACUAUCCUUCCUUGAAAUGACUGAAAACGUCCAGUGCAAUCGGUGUUAGAAAGAACAAGCCAAGUUUUCAAGAGUUUUAAGACGGAGUUUCAGGCUUCUGGAUUUCACUGGUUUUUGGAAUCUAUGUGUGUGAGUGACAAACUGCUCCACUAACAGGUCAAUGAGGGAGAGUUUGGCCUUCACCUCUACAGUCCUCCUAGACUUUUUAGUGCAGCUGUAAGUGAGCUUUCUGCUCUCAGUCUGUGAGUCCUCCACUCGGUAAAGUCUCCAGUGCAGUUACUGGGAUGAAGUGCUGAGUCUCAGCUCAACUCCAACUCCCUCUCCUCUAAGAGCACUUUUUGGAAGAGAGAGAGGGCGAGAGACAUUAGCAAUACAUUGAGAGGGAGAAUGUGUUAUAAUGGGGCUCCAUGAGGAAACUCAGAAAAUAAAGUGUGAGAGUGCUGAUUUGCAUAUUCAUAGCUAAUUAACCAAUCAUGUGCAGCGAAAGGGCCCAAAAAUCCAUGAGCCAUUUAUAAACCUUGUGAUAUGACUAGGAUUCUCCAUCACGGUGAAUUCAAAAAAUAACUUUAUAUACAAGUUUUUCUUCACCGCGGAUGAGAACACUAGCACAACAGAAUAAAUAUAGAGAGUGCAGCACACCAUCCUGGUGAAAAAUUGUUGCAAAAAAAAUUCAUUAAAAAAAAAAAAUCUGCCUGUGCAGACCUCACCAGCUGACCUUCACUCUUCAACUUAGUGUUGAUUCUCUCUUACUCUAGCAGCAUCAGCAGCCAUCCUGCAGGUGCUUGCUGCUAAAGCACUCUUGCUUUCAGUGAGGCUUAGAACAUCAUAAGAUCUUGUGUUACAUGAUCAGUGAUGUCCUCAGCCUCUACCCAUGUUGGGUUGAGAGCAAGGAAAGGUAAAUUUUGGACUGUGGGCCCAAAUUUGUCUGAGUAUGUUGUCAUGAAGCUGUAAGUAUGUCGGGACUACUUUUCUCAUUAAUGGUAUGUUCAUCACUAGACCCAUUGCUCCACCUCAGAUGGUAAAACGAGCACAACAGAAUGAAUAAAUAAACGCUGGUAGCACCAAAAUUUCUUCAUAACAACAUGACUUCACCCUCAUGUUAAUCUGGAAGUAGGACUCAGCAACUCUGACAACUGAAGCAGUCUUCACUCAGUCCAGACUUUAAACAAGAAGCUAUAAAACAGCUAUGCAUUUACUUUCAGUGCAGUUUAUUGGGAAGCUUAAGGUACAUCAUGACUACUUUCCUAAUUUAUGGUAAACUCACUACAAGAGCUUCACUUGGGCGUCAGGGCUACAUGUACGGUGACUACCAGGCUAGCAUGAAUGUGAAAUCUGGGUUAUUGUACUAAGCAGAGUCAAUAAAUGAUGGCUAUAUUUCGCAGUUUAUUGUAUGAGCAGUUAAAGCUUGAAGGCAACGCUACUACCUCUGUUAUUGCUCUUGAAAAAACACGUUAACCAGCUUCUUUGACUGGCUUAUAAAGCGGCACAUAUUAUCAGCACAGGCUGCAUAUGCAGGCUUAAAGAAAGAUACAUCUUU